GAUGAACGCUGGCGGCGUGCCUAAUACAUGCAAGUCGAGCGAACAGACGAGGAGCUUGCUCCUUUGACGUUAGCGGCGGACGGGUGAGUAACACGUGGGUAACCUACCUAUAAGACUGGGAUAACUUCGGGAAACCGGAGCUAAUACCGGAUAAUAUUUCGAACCGCAUGGUUCGAUAGUGAAAGAUGGCUUUGCUGUCACUUAUAGAUGGACCUGCGCCGUAUUAGCUAGUUGGUAAGGUAACGGCUUACCAAGGCAACGAUACGUAGCCGACCUGAGAGGGUGAUCGGCCACACUGGAACUGAGACACGGUCCAGACUCCUACGGGAGGCAGCAGUAGGGAAUCUUCCGCAAUGGGCGAAAGCCUGACGGAGCAACGCCGCGUGAGUGAUGAAGGUCUUCGGAUCGUAAAACUCUGUUAUUAGGGAAGAACAAAUGUGUAAGUAACUGUGCACGUCUUGACGGUACCUAAUCAGAAAGCCACGGCUAACUACGUG
rnacentral:rRNA from 1 species